GUGAAUCAUCAAAUCUUUGAACGCAAAUUGCACUCUCCUCGGAGAGUAUGGGUGUUUGAGGGCGAGCCUCUAAUAAUCGCCAACGUUGCUGUUUCGCGGGGGCGUCUGUCGGGAAAUGGGUCAUCUUAAAUCUUUUUGGUUUAAGCGACUUAAAAUUUUCUUUUGGUUCCAUGAACGACUCUAAGAUCUAUGUCUUUACACGUUUCAGGUAUCGUUUUUUACUAGACGUGAGCAUAA
rnacentral:misc_RNA from 1 species